rnacentral:rRNA from 1 species
CAAUAGCGUAUAUUAAAAUUGUUGCGGUUAAAACGCUCGUAGUUGGAUGUCUGCGAGUGGAUUCCGGUCCUUCCCAGUGAAGAUUACACGGAACUCUGCUUGCAUUUGUUCAGGGAUGGUGGCUGCACUUCGUUGUGUGACCACAAGAUCUGAAUUUUUACUUUGAGGAAAUGAGAGUGUUCCAAGCAGGCAAUCGCCGUGAAUAUGAUAGCAUGGAAUAAUAGCACAGGACUCUUGGUUCAAUGCUGUUGGUUCGUUGGACUAGAGUAAUCACAAUAAGGAUAGUUGGGGGUAUUCGUAUUUAACUGUCAGAGGUGAAAUUCUUGGAUUUUUUAAAGACGAACAAUUGCGAAGGCAUCUACCCAGGAUGUUUUUGUUGA